rnacentral:rRNA from 1 species
AUUGAACGCUGGCGGCAGGCUUAACACAUGCAAGUCGAGCGGGGAAAGGUAGCUUGCUACCUGACCUAGCGGCGGACGGGUGAGUAAUGCUUAGGAAUCUGCCUAUUAGUGGGGGACAACAUCUCGAAAGGGAUGCUAAUACCGCAUACGUCCUACGGGAGAAAGCAGGGGACCUUCGGGCCUUGCGCUAAUAGAUGAGCCUAAGUCGGAUUAGCUAGUUGGUGGGGUAAAGGCCUACCAAGGCGACGAUCUGUAGCGGGUCUGAGAGGAUGAGCCGCCACACUGGGACUGAGACACGGCCCAGACUCCUACGGGAGGCAGCAGUGGGGAAUAUUGGACAAUGGGGGGAACCCUGAUCCAGCCAUGCCGCGUGUGUGAAGAAGGCCUUUUGGUUGUAAAGCACUUUAAGCGAGGAGGAGGCUACCGAGAUUAAUACUCUUGGAUAGUGGACGUUACUCGCAGAAUAAGCACCGGCUAACUCUGUG